rnacentral:rRNA from 1 species
AGCGUACACGGUGGAUGCCCUGGCAGUCAGAGGCGAUGAAGGACGUGCUAAUCUGCGAUAAGCGUCGGUGAGGUGAUAUGAACCGUUAUAACCGGCGAUUUCCGAAUGGGGAAACCCAGUGUGUUUCGACACACUAUCAUUAACUGAAUCCAUAGGUUAAUGAGGCGAACCGGGGGAACUGAAACAUCUAAGUACCCCGAGGAAAAGAAAUCAACCGAGAUUCCCCCAGUAGCGGCGAGCGAACGGGGAGGAGCCCAGAGCCUGAAUCAGUGUGUGUGUUAGUGGAAGCGUCUGGAAAGGCGUGCGAUACAGGGUGACAGCCCCGUACACAAAAAUGCACAUACUGUGAGCUCGAUGAGUAGGGCGGGACACGUGGUAUCCUGUCUGAAUAUGGGGGGACCAUCCUCCAAGGCUAAAUACUCCUGACUGACCGAUAGUGAACCAGUACCGUGAGGGAAAGGCGAAAAGAACCCCGGCGAGGGGAGUGAAAAAGAACCUGAAACCGUGUACGUACAAGCAGUGGGAGCCUCUUAAUGGGGUGACUGCGUACCUUUUGUAUAAUGGGUCAGCGACUUAUAUUCUGUAGCAAGGUUAACCGAAUAGGGGAGCCGAAGGGAAACCGAGUCUUAACUGGGCGUUAAGUUGCAGGGUAUAGACCCGAAACCCGGUGAUCUAGCCAUGGGCAGGUUGAAGGUUGGGUAACACUAACUGGAGGACCGAACCGACUAAUGUUGAAAAAUUAGCGGAUGACUUGUGGCUGGGGGUGAAAGGCCAAUCAAACCGGGAGAUAGCUGGUUCUCCCCGAAAGCUAUUUAGGUAGCGCCUCGUGAAUUCAUCUCCGGGGGUAGAGCACUGUUUCGGCAAGGGGGUCAUCCCGACUUACCAACCCGAUGCAAACUGCGAAUACCGGAGAAUGUUAUCACGGGAGACACACGGCGGGUGCUAACGUCCGUCGUGAAGAGGGAAACAACCCAGACCGCCAGCUAAGGUCCCAAAGUCAUGGUUAAGUGGGAAACGAUGUGGGAAGGCCCAGACAGCCAGGAUGUUGGCUUAGAAGCAGCCAUCAUUUAAAGAAAGCGUAAUAGCUCACUGGUCGAGUCGGCCUGCGCGGAAGAUGUAACGGGGCUAAACCAUGCACCGAAGCUGCGGCAGCGACACUAUGUGUUGUUGGGUAGGGGAGCGUUCUGUAAGCCUGUGAAGGUGGCCUGUGAGGGUUGCUGGAGGUAUCAGAAGUGCGAAUGCUGACAUAAGUAACGAUAAAGCGGGUGAAAAGCCCGCUCGCCGGAAGACCAAGGGUUCCUGUCCAACGUUAAUCGGGGCAGGGUGAGUCGACCCCUAAGGCGAGGCCGAAAGGCGUAGUCGAUGGGAAACAGGUUAAUAUUCCUGUACUUGGUGUUACUGCGAAGGGGGGACGGAGAAGGCUAUGUUGGCCGGGCGACGGUUGUCCCGGUUUAAGCGUGUAGGCUGGUUUUCCAGGCAAAUCCGGAAAACCAAGGCUGAGGCGUGAUGACGAGGCACUACGGUGCUGAAGCGACAAAUGCCCUGCUUCCAGGAAAAGCCUCUAAGCAUCAGGUAACAUCAAAUCGUACCCCAAACCGACACAGGUGGUCAGGUAGAGAAUACCAAGGCGCUUGAGAGAACUCGGGUGAAGGAACUAGGCAAAAUGGUGCCGUAACUUCGGGAGAAGGCACGCUGAUAUGUAGGUGAAGCGACUUGCUCGUGGAGCUGAAAUCAGUCGAAGAUACCAGCUGGCUGCAACUGUUUAUUAAAAACACAGCACUGUGCAAACACGAAAGUGGACGUAUACGGUGUGACGCCUGCCCGGUGCCGGAAGGUUAAUUGAUGGGGUUAGCGGUAACGCGAAGCUCUUGAUCGAAGCCCCGGUAAACGGCGGCCGUAACUAUAACGGUCCUAAGGUAGCGAAAUUCCUUGUCGGGUAAGUUCCGACCUGCACGAAUGGCGUAAUGAUGGCCAGGCUGUCUCCACCCGAGACUCAGUGAAAUUGAACUCGCUGUGAAGAUGCAGUGUACCCGCGGCAAGACGGAAAGACCCCGUGAACCUUUACUAUAGCUUGACACUGAACAUUGAGCCUUGAUGUGUAGGAUAGGUGGGAGGCUUUGAAGUGUGGACGCCAGUCUGCAUGGAGCCGACCUUGAAAUACCACCCUUUAAUGUUUGAUGUUCUAACGUGGGCCCCUUACCGGGGUUGCGGACAGUGUCUGGUGGGUAGUUUGACUGGGGCGGUCUCCUCCUAAAGAGUAACGGAGGAGCACGAAGGUUGGCUAAUCCUGGUCGGACAUCAGGAGGUUAGUGCAAUGGCAUAAGCCAGCUUGACUGCGAGCGUGACGGCGCGAGCAGGUGCGAAAGCAGGUCAUAGUGAUCCGGUGGUUCUGAAUGGAAGGGCCAUCGCUCAACGGAUAAAAGGUACUCCGGGGAUAACAGGCUGAUACCGCCCAAGAGUUCAUAUCGACGGCGGUGUUUGGCACCUCGAUGUCGGCUCAUCACAUCCUGGGGCUGAAGUAGGUCCCAAGGGUAUGGCUGUUCGCCAUUUAAAGUGGUACGCGAGCUGGGUUUAGAACGUCGUGAGACAGUUCGGUCCCUAUCUGCCGUGGGCGCUGGAGAACUGAGGGGGGCUGCUCCUAGUACGAGAGGACCGGAGUGGACGCAUCACUGGUGUUCGGGUUGUCAUGCCAAUGGCACUGCCCGGUAGCUAAAUGCGGAAGAGAUAAGUGCUGAAAGCAUCUAAGCACGAAACUUGCCCCGAGAUGAGUUCUCCCUGACUCCUUGA